rnacentral:rRNA from 1 species
GUCCUUUUGAUUUUUAUAUAAGGUCUGACCUGCCCUAUGAAUAUUUAAAUGGCCGCGGUAUACUAACCGUGCAAAGGUAGCAUAGUCAUUUGUCUCUUAAUUGGAGGCUUGAAUGAAGGGUUGGACGAGAUAUAAGCUUUCUUUGUUAUAUUUUAUUGAAUUUGACUUUUGAGUUAAAAGGCUUAAAUUUUUUUAUAGGACGAGAAGACCCUAUAGAAUUUUAUAUAUUUGUAUAAUUGAUUUAUUUAUUUAUUAUUUAAUUUCUUGUUUAAAUAUAUUUUGUUGGGGCGAUGGGAAGAUUUUAAUAACUCUUUUUUGUUUUGAUCAUUGAUUUAUGUUUUAUUCUGAUCCUUUUUUAGAGAUUAUAAGAUUAAAUUACCUUAGGGAUACCAGCGUAAUUCUUUUGGAGAGUUCUUAUCGAUAAAAGAGUUUGCGA